UCCGGUGUCGUGAUGAUACCCCAAUGCAUAGUUCAUCUGAAUUCAUCUGAUGACAACUUAUACAUCGUUAUUAGUCUUUCGCUCCCAUCUGACUUACACCUCA
rnacentral:snoRNA from 1 species